ACCUGGGUGGCUCAGUGGUUGAGUGUCUGACUUCUGCUCAGGUCCUGAUCCCCGGGUU
rnacentral:tRNA from 1 species